GUGUGUAGAUGUGUGUGUGCGUGUGUGUGUGUGUGUGUGUGUGUCUUUCUGAUCACGUUCGCGCCACUUUCUGAAAUAACAGGUUCAUACAGUAUUUUUUGCAUUCUGGCAAAGAGCGAGUAAGAAGGCAUUUGAACCUGCAACGCAACGGACACACGGCCAUUCCAUGUCGGAGGAUCGCUCUGGUUACAUCGAGGAAAACCACAACAAUCCGAUGCAGAUGCAGGGCACUAUCCCUGAUCACACUGCUGAUCAAGAAGAUCUCACUGCAUGUAUCCCUCAGAACCAGGUGGAAAUUUGAAUGGUGUCUUAUAAUCUAUCAAUAAGUCUUGUGUUGUUCAAGACUAAACCGACAAAUGAAAGGAUGAAGGAAGUUCUUCGUCAGCUUGAUGAUGAUGUCGAGCUGUCCUAUCAAGUCAUCCAUCUUCUUCUGUCUCACUUUUCCGAAGAUGUCUCAGGACUUGAUAUGCCAGUGCAGCUGACCUUGAGAGUUCACUAGCUUUACCUGCAACGCCUCGUCUGAUACUUCUUGGAGAAACAGGAAACCACUUCCAAAGCUGGAUGCUCAGCAUUGAGGGCCAGAUUGUGGGCGAAGGGAUCCAGUCCACCUUUGUGACAGGGCUGGCGUCUUUUUUCUCCGGUUUUUAUAUCUUCAACCUACAGUACCAAGAGGAGGCAGCGUGCACACUUGAAUUCAUCCAGAGGUAAGACAUUGUCUGUUAACACCUGCAUUUGUUCUGGCCUAGCUGUGGCUCAAGCAUGGUUUCAGCAGGUCUGGUGAUGGGAUUUAGCAAUUAACUUUGCUUUAGAAAGUUUUAGUGCAACUUACAAUAUUCAUAGAUGCAUAGGAUAGUAUGUUGAGGAUAGUUCAUGGACAUUUGUUGUCUUGUUGUAGUGUUAGUCUGUGUGAAUUACUAGAUUUCCAACCCGUGUAUAAUUUUUCAGACGCUUUGUGGGUAUAAACCCAGAAAAGGGGACAAAGGCUGCAAAGGGGAAAAAAAGAACGGUAAAUUCACACAUCGCCAGCCUCUUGCGCAGACUGAUGGACUUCCAGUGGGAUUUCAUUUCAAAAAGUGGAGGUGUGUUCAGGUGCGUUCUGGGCAAUGUAGUGUAUUUUUCUGUGAUUGAUCCGAUCUAUAUGUGCCUACAUUUGUAAGUAUUUAACUUUCAGUGUUUCUAUUACAAUAAAAAAGUUAAUUUGAACAUGGAACUAUUCGUUUUCUUUCACUUAAGUGUUAUGUGAUGUAUUAUGCCUAUUCUUAUAAUAACUCAAGCUAGAAAUAUGUAUAUUACAAUCAAUGGUACACAUUACUAUGCUAAAAUAAUAAUCAAUACAUUUUAAAAGCAAUAUUUAAAGGAAACUAAAUAAAUGGUGAUUUAACAUGAAAAUAAUGGUAACCCUGCUGCCAGUAAAGUCCUGUUAAAAAACAUUACGGGUGUGCACUGUAAAAAAACAUUAACAGGAAUAAACCGUUAAAAUAACAUGAAAAUAAUGGUAACCCUGCUGCCAGUAAAUUCCUGUUAAAAAACAUUACGGGUGUGCACUGUAAAAAAACAUUAACAGGAAUAAACUGUUAAAAUAACAUGAAAAUAAUGGUAACCCUGCUGCCAGUAAAUUCCUGUUA